GGGUUCAGUGUUAGUGGUAGAGCGUGUGCCUUGCAAGCAGAAGGUCCCAGGUUCAAAUCCCUGGCAUCUCCA